CUUCCCAAGCCUUACAGCCCUUCAUAAUUUUAUAUCAUGUUUGCCUCAUCACAUUUUGUCUGAUUAAUUAAAAUGAGAUGGAAAAUUCCUGAUUACUUUCUCUCUGAAUUUCAUUUGUCAGUAACACGUCUUUCUUCCACCACCACAUGAAACAGAAAAAUACUGAAUUGCAUUUCUUACCAAAAAGCAGUUUUUACUGGAAUACUGGGAAGCAGGGAUUGAUAUAUUUUUAUCAGCACUUCCCCAACUAGUUACAUCAUGUUAUUUUGUGUACUGUUCCCAUUGACAGCGAUGCUAUGAAAAGCCAUGGUGCAUGCUGGGUAAUGCAGACUUCGAGCAUUCGCACUCCAUUAAUUAAUUCAUCACCUAAAAGCUAAGUAUUGAUUUUUUAAUGGUUUUACAAAUCUAUUUAAGUUUCAGUGAUGUGAUUAAGAGGAUAUGUGUUUACUGUAAAUUAUCUAACAAGUACAAUGGUAUUACUCUCAGAAAUAGUAAACAAUUUAGCUUGUGAGAGAGAGAAAAAAGAUUGGUUAAAAUAUUUUUGCAAAUACUAUUUAAUAGCUAUUACAAGCCAUUAAAAUAUGGCUUAAAAACCCUAUUAUUUCAAACCAUGGGUACUAUGGUUCUUGAUUUUCAGUAAGAAUGAGAUCAUACACCCAUGAUUUUUUCCCCAAUCCUACUACAAAUUAUAGUGAGAUAAACAUUCUUUGAUUAGUAGCGUUGGUCCAAAAUUUUCACUUUAAUUCUUAUUGUGGAAUAUUAUGGAAGAUGUGGAAUUAGUUUACAUUUUUCUAUUUUCAUUCCCAGAAAUUGUUUGGGCUCACAAAUCAUUUAGAAAUAUUCCUGCAGAUAAUUCUGGCUAUUGGGGUUGAACCCAGGAGUCCCCGUUCUUGUCCACGGAAGACGACUCAGCUACUGAAAGGUAACUACGUUACAUUCAGAAUCCAGCAGUCACGGAGAUUUAGCUUGGGUGGCAAUGGUAACUGCUUUUUAAUCAACUCUCGAUACACUCAAUGCUGGGGCACAUCUACGUUCUGUUGAGGAAACUUGAUGAUAUUUCUAAGUAUGUCCAGUAACACAUGAUUGACUGGUUCUUCCGAUCGAAUAUGUGUAGUAAAAAGUAAAUCUCUUGACAAUGAAAUAAGUUAGAAGACAAUCAGUUCUGUUUAGAAAUCCUAACAGUCUUGUGCUUACACCAUGGUUGUUUGGUUCUGAAGCAUUAGAUUAUGUUACUCAGAAUCUUGGUAUCCCUUUGGUAUUAUUAGUCACCUGAUGAAAUAAUUUCAAAAAAUCUUCUCUUUGCUGCUAUCGGAUACUCAUGUGAGUACCCUUCCCACACAGUCGGCAUAUUGUAAUACGGAUGUGUACAUCAUGCUGAAAAGGCAUACCUUCAGAAGCAAAAUUUGAUUGUAUUUUCAACUUUAAUUAUUUUCUCCAUCACCGAAUCCAGAUUCGGAGACCUGGUAUUGACUU
rnacentral:lncRNA from 1 species